CUCACUAUACUAUCUAUUACAAUAUAUAUACAUGUAUGUUAGGAUAGAGAGCUAAUAGGGUAAAAGUAUAGUCUUCGUGUACUUUAUGUUAUUAUACUUAAGUUAUUGAGUGGAGCCAAAAGUAUAGUUUAUGUGUGCUUAUUGUUACUAUACAAGCGUAAUCUCUAUGUGUUUAAAUAUUUAAAUUAUUACGGUUAAGUUAGGGGUUGAUGUCGGAACGGCGACAGGUCGGGAGCCUAUAGACCCGUGUGUUGACGACGAAAUGGCAAGUACGUAAGUCUAGAUACACAUAUUAUUGGUUGAUCGGCCAAAAGUCGUGAGCCAUGGUUGUUCUUCUAACCGUGGAAAGGCUCCAGCGUGGCUGUACUUACAUCGAUGAAAUUUAUAAUGUUUUAGACUUCCGCUAAAGCUCUCUUUUAUAUUUAAUAAAUGUAUGACAAUGAUCUUUUAAUAAAGAUGAGCUUUUGGAUUUGUGUUUUA